ensembl:snRNA U6 U6 spliceosomal RNA
GUGCUCACUUCGGCAGCACAUACACUAAAGUAAGAACAAUACAGAUAAGAUUAGCAUGGCCCCUGCUCAAGGAUGACAUGCAAAUUAAUCCCAUAUUUUA